rnacentral:rRNA from 1 species
UAGGGAAUCUUCCGCAAUGGACGCAAGUCUGACGGAGCAACGCCGCGUGAGUGAUGAAGGUUUUCGGAUCGUAAAGCUCUGUUGCCCUAGACGAACAGCAGGGGGAGUAACUGCCCUCUGUGUGACGGUAUAGGAGAAGAAAGCCCCGGCUAACUACGUGCCAGCAGCCGCGGUAAUACGUAGGGGGCAAGCGUUGUCCGGAAUUAUUGGGCGUAAAGCGCGCGCAGGCGGUGAUUUAAGUUUGGUGUUUAAGCCCGAGGCUCAACCUCGGUUCGCAUCGAAAACUGGGUCACUUGAGUGUAGGAGAGGAAAGUGGAAUUCCACGUGUAGCGGUGAAAUGCGUAGAGAUGUGGAGGAACACCAGUGGCGAAGGCGACUUUCUGGCCUAUAACUGACGCUGAGGCGCGAAAGCGUGGGGAGCAAACAGG